rnacentral:rRNA from 1 species
UACGGGGGGAGCAAGCGUGGUUCGGAUUUACUGGGCGGAAAGGGCGCGUAGGCGGCCACCGCAAGUCGACUGUGAAAUCUCCGGGCUUAACCCGGAAAGGUCAGCCGAUACUGCGGGGCUAGAGUGCAGAAGGGGCAACUGGAAUUCUCGGUGUAGCGGUGAAAUGCGUAGAUAUCGAGAGGAACACCUGCGGCGAAGGCGGGUUGCUGGGCUGACACUGACGCUGAUGCGCGAAAGCUAGGGGAGCGAACGGG